GAUUACGGCCAUACCAGCCCAAGAAUUCCCAGUCUCGUAUUAUCUCGGAAGCUAAGAAGGCUUGGGCCUGGUUAGUGCUUGGAUGGAAGACCUCCUGGGAAUACUAGGUGCUGUAAGCU
ensembl:rRNA 5S_rRNA 5S ribosomal RNA